AUUGAACGCUGGCGGCAGGCCUAACACAUGCAAGUCGAACGAGUGGCGGACGGGUGAGUAAUGUCGGGGAAACUGCCUGAUGGAGGGGGAUCACUAAUGGAAACGGUAGCUAAUACCGCAUACCAUUCGAGUUGCCCAUAUGGGAUUAGCUUGUUGGUGGGGUAAAGGCUCACCAAGGCGACGAUCCCUAGCUGGUCUGAGAGGAUGACCAGCCACACUGGAACUAGGACACGGUCCAUACUCCUACGGGAGGCAGCAGUGGGGAAUAUUGCACAAUGGGCGCAAGCCUGAUGCAGCCAUGCCGCGUGUAUGACGAAGGCCUUCGGGUUGUAAAGUACUUUCAGCGGGGAGGCGUUACCCGCAGAAGAAGCACCGGCUAACUCCGUGCCAGCAGCCGCGGUAAUUC
rnacentral:rRNA from 1 species